GUUCCCUCUCUCUAAUCCUAGCUAUCCGGGUCCUAGUGCUGUCUCGAAGCAAUGCACCUGGGCAAGGAUUCAGAAAGGGUGGGC
rfam:Sus scrofa chromosome X.